UUCUAUUGCAUUAAGUUGCUUUUUUCAUAAUGAAAUCGUUCACGUUAUUUACUUGUUGCUUUGUUAUUUCAGGUUAUGGUUGAUGCAUUUAUCGAUGAGGGUGAUGUCUCAAAGAGACAAGGACAUGCUUUGCUUCUUCUCUGUGCUAAGGUGUAAGGAGAAGGAUCCUACAAUGGCUCAAUGAUGGCUUUGACUAAUAGUUGUCACUCGAAUUCAUGUUACUCUUCUAAGGUGUUUUAGAAGCUAAUAAUUAUGAUCGGAUCAUUGCAAUAUCUUCUCCUGGGUGGCUGGAGAAGAAGAGUUACCCCGAGAUGUUUCUUGCCGGUUUUGCUAACAGGGGUGGAAAUAUGGAAAUUUCUACAACAUUCAUAUGUUUGUUCACUCUACACUACAUGGUUACUUCAGGAAGGCUUCAGAUAGAUAAAAGGCAUGAUUGACGAUCUAAAAGACAGUGAGAAAAUUUCUGAAUCCAACAGAAGUGUUACUAGUUGUUGUUGCCAUGAC